CAGCGAGGAGCGGCGCUCCAGGCCUCCUCGCCGCUUUCAGGGUUGCAGGUUGAGUUCAUGCUUAUCUUUAGCAGAAAUCUUACCGGGGGCCCUGUUACAUCAGUAUGUACAGAGAGGAUCACAAGAGAAGCCAGUGCUGGUGUGAGAAAUCAGGCUGCCCAGUGUCGGAGAGUCCUGGGAAAGCUUGAGGAAUCCACAGUGGGUGAUGGCCCCAGCAUCUACAGGUCACCUCUCUGUCACCCAGGCAGCACAGGACUUGGCCUUUUGAAGAUGACUCAGAGAGACCAGCUAGGCAACCAGAGCUGACCUCAGCAGGUACACUUGCCCACCUCUGGGCAGACGAUAUCACCAAAUAGUCAGAGUGCUCUCCGGGACUGUCUCCAGCUUCCACACCGAAGGGGCAGGUAGAGCUUUCCUCCGCUGCAGCGACCACCUCCUGAGCUAGCACAGCCAUUUCUGAUGGCCAUUCUGCGGACCAGAAGCCCAGCCCAGAUAGAGAAGAAGAUGGCUUGAGUGUGACACUGGGAGGACUGACCUCUCCCCAAGACUCGGGCCACACUGCUGCCUGACAUUCGAAGGUGAGCGAGUGGCAUGGUGGUCCACAAGCAGCGCUCUCCUGCCGGCUGGCUUCCUGGUCCUGGUCUCCUGUCCUCCUCCUGAACAGAGCCCAGAAACACACCUGCUCUACCUGGAGGUGGAAAGAAAAGAAAGGAAGCUGGCUGCAGCCACCCUGGUGUGUCCAGCCUGAGUGGAAAGCACAGCCUGAAAGGGGAAGCUUAGAUAUGCUUUUCCACACGGCCUUAUAAACUUAACUGCUACUUACUCCCACACUUACAUCGCAUGGGCUCGAUGCCCUUCUACACAGGACAGAUUCCUCAACCCAUGUCCUCUCUCCCUCUCUGUCAGCCUUGUAGACGCCCAGCGCUCCAGCCCUCUGACUCUCACCUGUCACACACACUAAUCCACAAUCUACACGUUCUUGUGGGAAGCCUAUCAAAGUGACUCCAACUGAAAGCCACCCCCAUCCUCAGCUCAAGGCCCACUAUAACCUCUUUGCUCUGUCUGGUAGUCUCUCUGCUGCUCUUGGCUUAUGGCUGGGUGAUUGGGCUGCCACUGGGGCUGUGGGGUCUCUGCCUGGCGGGGCUCCUGCCCAGAGCUCCACUGAGACCAUCAGAGCAUGCACUUUCAUGUCCCCGAGGCUCCAGCUCUGCAGGCAGAGUGUCUUGCUUCUUUGAGCAGAGUUCAUUGCCCAGACUGGCAGGCAGCAGCCUCCUGGCCUGCACAGCCCUGUGCACAUAGCCACUCUGUGUCAGGCCCAGGCCCCCAGCCAACCGGUCUUCAUCUGCCUGGUUGGGAGCAGGGGAGUCACUUACUCAACUAUGCGCUUGAGAGAGCGAAAGUGUCAGAAGGGAGGGAUGUGAGAGGGAGAAAGUGGAAAUGCUGCCUGUGGGUUUUCUCCUUUCUUUAGGGAAGAACUCAGAGAUAAUAAAAGAAUGUUUCUAA